rnacentral:misc_RNA from 1 species
GCCAGGGCCUGCCGCCGC